rnacentral:rRNA from 1 species
CCUACGGGCGGCAGCAGUGAGGAAUAUUGGUCAAUGGCCGUGAGACUGAACCAGCCAAGUCGCGUGAGGGAAGACUGCCCUAUGUAUUGUAAACCUCUUUUAUGCGGGGAUAAAGGUUUCCACGUGUGGCUGUUUGCAUGUACCGCAUGAAUAAGGACCGGCUAAUUCCGUUCCAGCAGCCGCGGUAAUACGGAAGGUCCGGGCGUUAUCCGGCUUUAUUGGGUUUAAAGGGAGCGUAGGCCGGUCUUUAAGCUUGCCGUGAAAUGUUGUGGGUCAAACAUGAGAGUGCGGAGGGAACUGGAGACCUUGAGUGGGCGGAAGGUAGGCGGAAUUCGUGGUGUAGCGGUGAAAUGCUUAGAUAUCACGAAGAACCCCGAUUGCGAAGGCAGCCUGCCGCAGCGUUACUGACGCUGAAGCACGAAAGCGCGGGUAUCGAACAGGAUUAGAUACCCUUGUAGUC